UACGGUAGGUGCGAGCGUUGUCCGGAAUUAUUGGGCGUAAAGAGCUCGUAGGCGGUGUGUCACGUCGGCCGUGAAAACCUGCAGCUUAACUGUGGGCGUGCGGUCGAUAUGGGCAUCACUGGAGUUCGGCAGGGAGACUGGAAUUCCUGGUGUAGCGGUGAAAUGCGUAGAUAUCGGGAGGAACACCAGUGGCGAAGGCGACUACCUGGCCCUGUUCGUGACGCUGAGGCGGCGAAAGCUAGGGAGCAAACGGG
rnacentral:rRNA from 1 species